rnacentral:rRNA from 1 species
GCCAUGAUACGCCAAGCUAUUUAGGUGACACUAUAGAAUACUCAAGCUAUGCAUCCAACGCGUUGGGAGCUCUCCCAUAUGGUCGACCUGCAGGCGGCCGCGAAUUCACUAGUGAUUAGAGUUUGAUCAUGGCUCAGGAUAAACGCUGGCGGCGUGCCUUAAGCAUGCAAGUCGCACGGACUGCAAGGUCAGUGGCGGACGGCUGAGGAAGACAGGAGGAACCUGCCCGAGGGAGGGGGAUACCCCCGCGAAAGCGGGGCUAAGACCGCGUAAUCUUCUAGAGGGAAGAGCUUUAGAAGGAAAAGGGUAAAACCUGCCCUUGGAGGGGCUCCUGGCCCAUCAGGUAGUUGGAGUGGUAAGAGCACCCCAAGCCGAUGACGGGUAGCUGGUCUGAGAGGAUGAUCAGCCAGACUGGGAYUGAGAACGGCCCAGACUCCUACGGGAGGCAGCAGCUAGGAAUCUUGCGCAAUGGGCGAAARCCUGACGCAGCGACGCCGCGUGGGGGACGAAGGUCUUCGGAUUGUAAACCCCUUUUSUCGGGGACGAGCAAGGACGGUACCCGACGAAG